rnacentral:tRNA from 1 species
UGUUCGAUAGCGCCAGCACCGGCGUCGCGGCGCUUCGGUCGGCGCGGGCCGGCGCCGUCCGCGGUUCCGCCUCGCGUCGCGCGGCC